rnacentral:lncRNA from 1 species
GGCAUCAACAGACCAUUUCUCCCUCAUUCGUUUGCUGAGAAACAACUUUCGACUGACGGUAGGGGGUUCCUCAAGUAUUUCACCAUAGAUUGGAGGAUCUUUCUUGUGGAUGGAGCACAAGGUGUCAGAUCUGAGGGUCCUGUGUGAGCAAUGGAUGUAAGAAAAUGCCCAACAGGAGUCGCCAUUUCUGGAGAUCCCCCAGUCUCUAUCGUCUUGGUCAGAUUAUUCUCCAAAUUGUUGACCACCUCUUCC